rnacentral:rRNA from 1 species
UACGGGGGGGGCAAGCGUUGUUCGGAAUUACUGGGCGUAAAGGGCUUGUAGGUGGCCAACUAAGUCAGACGUGAAAUCCCUCAGCUUAACUGGGGAACUGCGUCUGAUACUGGAUGGCUUGAGAUUGGGAGAGGGACGCGGAAUUCCAGGUGUAGCGGUGAAAUGCGUAGAUAUCUGGAGGAACACCGGUGGCGAAGGCGGCGUCCUGGACCAACACUGACACUGAAAAGCGAAAGCCAGGGGAGCAAACCGG